AUUUACAGAUAAUCAACCAUUGUAAAUUGCAGUGUUUUGAUAAUAUCUUCAAAUUUAUUCAUAGUCAUAAAUAUGAUGCUAAUGUAUUCCAAUCCUAUACUUGACAAUUUUGAAAUUGACAGCAGAACUCGCAAUGAAGAUAAAUUAAAACGACUAUAGCUCCGAUCAUCCGAAAAAAUAACAAGACUAAUCGCAAGACUAUUUUUUUUAUUCAUACAUAAAUAAAACAGGCAUCACCCAAUCCAGCAAUCAUUUCAUUAACAACCUUUGGAGACUUUUUCAAUGUGACACACAAUUCAUCAAAAUGGUGCUUUCCAUCCAGCAAACCAAGCAGUUUUUUCUCUUCUUCGGUUAAGUUAUUCCUCAUAGUCCUUCGUUCUAAGUAUGGGUAUUUAUGCACACGAUAUAUUAGCCCUUUUAUA